rnacentral:rRNA from 1 species
CCUACGGGUGGCAGCAGUGGGGGAUAUUGCACAAUGGGGGAAACCCUGAUGCAGCGACGCCGCGUGUGGGAAGACGGUCCUCUGGAUUGUAAACCACUGUCCCCAGGGACGAAGAUGACGGUACCUGAGGAGGAAGCUCCGACUAAAUACGUGCCAGCCGCCGCGGUAAUACGUAGGGAGCGAGCGUUGUCCGGAAUUACUGGGAGUAAAGGGAGCGUAGGCGGGGAUGGAAGUUGGGUGUCAAAACUACCGGCUCAACUGGUAGUCGCACUCAAAACUGCAGCUCUUGAGUGAAGUAGAGGCAGGCGGAAUUCCUAGUGUAGAGGUGAAAUGCGUAGAUAUUAGGAGGAACACCAGUGGCGAAGGCGGCCUGCUGGGCUUUUACUGACGCUGAGGCUCGAAAGUGUGGGGAGCAAACAGGAUUAGAUACCCCAGUAGUC